rnacentral:rRNA from 1 species
CUCCUACGGGAGGCAGCAGUCGAGGAUCUCCGUCAAUGGGCGAAAGCCUGAACGAGCGACGCCGCGUGCGGGAUGAAGGCCCUUGGGUUGUAAACCGCUGUCAGGGGGGAUGAAACCGUAAGGUUGACAGAGCCCCAGAGGAAGCACGGGCUAAGUUCGUGCCAGCAGCCGCGGUAAUACGAACUGUGCGAACGUUACUCGGAAUCACUGGGCUUACAGGGUGCGUAGGUGGCUUGAUAAGCAGGGUGUGAAAUCCCUCGGCUCAACCGAGGAACUGCGCUCUGAACUGUCGGGCUAGAGUAUGCUAGAGGUGAAUGGAACAUCCAGUGGAGCGGUGAAAUGUGUUGAUAUUGGAUGGAACACCAGAGGCGAAGGCGAUUCACUGGGACAUAACUGACACUGAGGCACGAAAGCCAGGGGAGCAAACGGGAUUAGAUACCCCGGUAGUCCUGGCCGUAAACGAUGAGAACUGAGCGGGGGGAGGCUUGCCUUCCCCGGCUGUAGCGAAAGCGUU